rnacentral:tRNA from 1 species
CAUUAGGUGACUGAAACACAAGUAAUGGUCUCUUAAACCAAAACAUAGUAAAUUCGUAUAUACUUCUAAUGA